CCCUUGUGCCAGCAGCCGCGGUAAUUCCAGCUCCAAUAGCGUAUAUUAAAGUUGUUGCGGUUAAAAAGCUCGUAGUUGGAUUUCUGUUGAGGUCGGGCGGUGUGCACCUCGUGCAUUAUUUGCUUCGGUCUCGGCAUCCUCCUGGGGAACGUUUAGGACUUUAUUGGACUAGGCGAGAUUCAGGACUUUUACUUUGAGGAAAUUAGAGUGUUCACGGCAAGCAAGCGCGGGAAUACAUUAGCAUGGAAUAAUAAUAUAGGACCUUCGUUCUAUUUUGUUGGUUUCUAGAACUUAGGUAAUGAUUAAUAGGGACAAUUGGGGGCAUUCGUAUUAACGCGUCAGAGGUGGAAUUCUUGGAUUGCGUUACGACGAACUACUGCGAAAGCAUUUGCCAAAGAUGUUUUCAUUGAUCAAGAACGAAAGUAUGGGGAUCGAAGACGCUUAGAUACCGUCGUAGUCUAUACCAUAAACUAUGCCAACUAGAGAUCGGUGGGGUUAUCCUAUGUGGCUCCAUCGGCAUCUUAUGAGAAAUCAAAGUUUUUGGGUUCCGGGGGGAGUAUGGUCGCAAGGCUGAAACUUAAAGGAAUUGACGGAAGGGCACCACCAGGAGUGGAGCCUGCGGCUUAAUUUGACUCAACACGGGGAAACUCACCAGGUCCAGACAUAAUAAGGAUUGACAGAUUGAUAGCUCUUUCUUGAUUUUAUGGGUGGUGGUGCAUGGCCGUUCUUAGUUCGUGGAGUGAUUUGUCUGCUUAAUUUCGUUAACGAACGAGACCUUAACCUGCUAAAUAGAAGCUCCUAUCUUCGGAUAAGUGCAUUUCUUCUUAGAGGGACUUUACGCGUUGCAGCGUGAGGAAGUUUGAGGCUAAAACAGGUCUGUGAUGCCCAA
rnacentral:rRNA from 1 species